rnacentral:rRNA from 1 species
UACGUAGGGGGGCAAGCGUUGUCCGGAAUCAUUGGGCGUAAAGAGCGUGUAGGCGGCUCGAUAAGUCUGCUGUGAAAGUCCAGGGCUCAACCCUGGAAGGCCGGUGGAAACUGUCGGGCUAGAGUCCGGAAGAGGCGAGUGGAAUUCCCGGUGUAGCGGUGAAAUGCGCAGAUAUCGGGAGGAACACCAAUGGCGAAGGCAGCUCGCUGGGACGGUACUGACGCUGAGACACGAAAGCGAUGGGUAGCAAACGAG